UGAAAACUGCUCUAGGGAAGAAGCGGCGGGACGGGAAAACUGCACAGCUGCAGCCUUUGACAACCAUGCAAAGGGUUCAUGUUGGCAAUUUAAUUAUGAAAUAUGGAGAUGACUACCAAGCAAUGUUUAGGGAUACGAAGUUGAAUUUGAUGCAGCAUUCAGUAGCAACAUUGAAGAAGCUGUGUCAGAGAUACGAUGUUCAGAGGAAGCAUUAUAUUACUUCAUGAGAGGUUGAUAUUUUAUGGUAAUGUAACUUGUUGAGAUUUUUAAGAGCUGUUUGUAAAUUUCUAUGAAUUUGAUGCCUGAGCACUCUACCUUGCAGGAUUGUGUUGUAUGCAAAGCAAUGAUUCAUACAGUCAGUAUUUUAUUAGUUUAUCUUUCUUCGAUACA